AUGUCACGGGCGCCUCCCGCGUUGGCGGCUCCGGCCAACUCCACGUUCUCCCACCUCUUCCAGCUCUGCGCCCGCGGCGGCCGCGCUGCCCUCGACGCCGGGCGCGCCGCGCACGCGCGCAUGCUCGUGUCCGGGUUCGUCCCGACAGCCUUCGUCUCGAACUGCCUCCUGCAGAUGUACGCCCGCUGCGCAGACGCCGCAUGUGCUCGCAGGGUGUUCGACGCGAUGCCCCACAGGGACACCGUCUCGUGGAACACCUUGCUCACCGCGUACUCGCACUCCGGGGACACCACGACCGCGGUAUCACUGUUUGAUGCAAUGCCGAAUCCGGAUGUCGUGUCAUGGAACACGCUGGUCUCAAGCUAUUGCCAGCAUGGCAUGUAUAGUGAGUCGGUGGCCCUGUUUCUGGAGAUGGCUCGCUCUGGUGUUGCCUCCGACCGGACAACAUUUGCUGUCCUUCUAAAGUCGUGCGGUGCUCUGGACGACUUUGCACUCGGUGUGCAAAUUCAUGCAUUGGCGGUGAAGGCAGGGUUAGAUAUUGAUGUCCGGACUGGGAGUGCUCUCGUGGACAUGUAUGGCAAGUGCAGCAGUUUGGAUGACGCAUUGUUCUUCUUUUAUGGAAUGCCCGAGAGGAACUGGGUCUCGUGGGGUGCAGCCCUUGCUGGGUGCGUUCACAAUGAGCAGUACACUCGUGGGUUGGAGCUGUUCAUGGAGAUGCAGAGGUCAGGAAUGGGGGUGAGCCAGCCGGCUUAUGCGAGUGUCUUUAGAUCCUGCGCAGCAAAAUCAUGUCUGAGCACUGGUAGGCAGUUACAUGCACAUGCCAUAAAGAAUAACUUCAGUAUUGACCGUAUUGUUGGGACAGCUAUUGUGGAUGUUUAUGCUAAGGCUAAUAGCUUGGUGGAUGCUAAAAGGGCAUUCUUUGGGUUGCCCAGCCAUACAGUGCAAACGUGCAAUGCCAUGAUGGUUGGGCUUGUGCGCGCAGGGCUUGCAAAUGAGGCCUUGGAACUGUUUCAGUUCAUGACCAGGUCAGGUAUUGGUUUUGAUGCAGUCAGUUUAUCGGGUGUCUUCAGUGCUUGUGCAGAGAUUAAGGGGUAUUUAAAAGGGCUACAAGUCCACUGCUUAGCAAUGAAAUCAGGUUUUGAGACGGACAUCUGUGUCAGAAAUGCAAUUCUUGAUCUGUAUGGAAAGUGCAAAGCAUUGGUAGAAGCGUACUUUAUCUUCCAGGAUAUGGAGGAACGAGAUUCAAUCUCUUGGAAUGCUAUUAUUGCUGCUCUUGAGCAAAAUGGGCGCUAUGAGGACACCGCAGUUCAUUUUAAUGAGAUGCUGCGCUUUGGUAUGGAACCUGAUGAUUUCACAUAUGGUAGUGUCCUUAAGGCUUGUGCAGCUUUACAAUCUUUGGAGUUUGGUUUGAUGGUACAUGACAAGGUUAUCAAGUCAGGACUUGGUUCAGAUGCUUUUGUAGCUAGCACUGUUGUUGACAUGUACUGCAAAUGUGGUAUGAUGACAGAUGCUCAGAAACUCCAUGACAGAAUUGGGAAGCAAGAACUUGUUUCAUGGAAUGCCAUCAUGUCAGGAUUUUCACUGAACAAACAGAGUGAGGAUGCCCAGAAAAUCUUCUCACAGAUGUUAGAUAUUGGACUUAAGCCUGAUCAUUUCACCUAUGCUACAGUUCUUGACACUUGUGCUAACCUAGCUACCAUUGAGAUCGGGAAGCAGAUCCAUGGUCAGAUAAUUAAGCAAGAAAUGCUGGUAGAUGAAUAUAUAUCCAGCACCCUUAUAGACAUGUACGCCAAGUGUGGGUACAUGCAAGACUCACUGCUAAUGUUUGAGAAGGCACAGAAACGGGAUUUUGUGUCAUGGAAUGCUAUGAUAUGCGGCUAUGCGCUCCAUGGUCAAGGAGCAGAAGCACUCAAGAUGUUUGAUAGGAUGCAAAGGGAGGAUGUGGUUCCGAACCAUGCAACUUUCGUUGCUGUGCUCCGGGCUUGCAGCCAUGUUGGUCUGCUGGAUGAUGGAUGUUGUUACUUCCAUCAGAUGACCACCCGCUACAAACUGGAACCACAACUGGAGCACUUUGCUUGCAUGGUUGAUAUACUAGGACGGUCAAAGGGACCGCAGGAAGCUCUGAAGCUUAUUGGCACCAUGCCUUUUGAGGCGGAUGCAGUCAUCUGGAAGACUCUCCUAAGCGUUUGCAAGAUCCAUCGGGAUGUUGAGGUGGCUGAACUUGCUGCCGGCAAUGUUCUACGACUGGAUCCUGAGGAUUCUUCAGUUUACAUUCUUCUGUCAAAUGUAUAUGCAGAAUCAGGGAAAUGGGCUGAUGUUUCUAGGACAAGAAGGUUAAUGAAGCAGGGAAGGCUUAAGAAGGAACCUGGCUGUAGCUGGAUUGAGGUGCAAAAUGAGAUGCAUGGAUUCCUUGUAGGAGAUAACGUCCAUCCGAGAUCGAGGGAGCUGUAUGACAUGCUGCAUGAUUUGAUUGAUGAGAUGAAACUGUCUGGAUAUGACCCUGAUUUAGCUUCUUUUGCUGAGGUUGACGAAGAGGGCAGUGCAUCCGAGCAAGAUGAUUUACUUGGAAUGGUUGGUGGCUAG
rnacentral:rRNA from 1 species